CCCCGCAAGUGACCAAAGUUCUUCAAGGCCGAGGGGGAAACGUUUGUGAAUUGUACCUCCACUUAAGAUGGCAAUCAAACUGCAUCUGGUUUCGACAGGGAUUCCCCGAGGGAAAGUGGCUAGUGGAAGGGCUGAGGGGGUAAAAAUAAAAUGCUUGGACUGCAGCCCUAUAGUACAUUUUAGGUAGGGGGAAUGGCGCGCUACAGUCACAGUCUGUACAUGAUCAUCACAUGGGGAUUUACUUCUUUACCGUACCCGAGCUGGCCUGAAACUCUUUCUAAAGACUGUUGCCAUCGAUUGGAAGCCAUAGGAUCUGAAAUCUGGGAGGACAGGAAAAUAGUCUAAUUCAUGCACUUAUCAACAGAAGAUC